AUUGAACGCUGGCGGCAUGCUUUACACAUGCAAGUCGAACGGUAACAGGUUAAGCUGACGAGUGGCGAACGGGUGAGUAAUGCAUCGGAACGUGCCCGAUCGUGGGGGAUAACGCAGCGAAAGCUGCGCUAAUACCGCAUACGAUCUGAGGAUGAAAGCGGGGGACCGUAAGGCCUCGCGCGAUCGGAGCGGCCGAUGUCAGAUUAGGUAGUUGGUGGGGUAAAGGCCUACCAAGCCGACGAUCUGUAGCUGGUCUGAGAGGACGACCAGCCACACUGGGACUGAGACACGGCCCAGACUCCUACGGGAGGCAGCAGUGGGGAAUUUUGGACAAUGGGCGCAAGCCUGAUCCAGCGACGCCGCGUGCAGGAAGAAGGCCUUCGGGUUGUAAACUGCUUUUGUACGGAGCGAAAAGGCUCUCUCUAAUACAGGGGGCUCAUGACGGUACCGUAAGAAUAAGCACCGGCUAACUACGUGCCAGCAGCCGCCGUAA
rnacentral:rRNA from 1 species